rnacentral:lncRNA from 1 species
GUGCUAACAUAUUUGGUGAAUUAUUUAGAAAUGUACUCUUAGAGAUUUGGAAGAUUGAACUCUAAGCUCAGUAAAAAAUUAGCUUAGGGUUAAGUAUCCUAAUAAAGUUUAAACUCUGCCGAAAUUUAACUCAAGAUAAUUUGUCUUCAAGAGCUCAUACUAUAGAACAACAGUACUUUAAAAAGGUUGUACUUGUAUUACGCAUAUGUAAAUUGGCUGUAAUUUAUUUUUUGAUUCUAGUGGAUUCGAACGAAAUUUUGAAAAAUUAUAAAAUAAACUCUGUUAACAAAUUUGAUGUGUCGUUUACUUUUGCAUUUUAUUUUUUCGACUCACUUGCGCUUUUAAAACAAUAACAAGAACUAGAUCCAGCGCGGAUAUGAAUUUUCAGUUUUUAAUUAUUUAUUUUAUUAAAUGAUGUAUUUGUAAAAUUCAUUCAUGUUAUAUUCAUUAAGUAAAUAUUUUUUUUUGCAUCUUAAACUAUCUAUUUUUUUUAUGAAUGUGUGAUAUCAUAUAAAAAAAUAUAAAAAAAUGAGUAUACAUAGUUAAUUAGAUAAUUGUAAAAU